ensembl:lncRNA LINC01670 long intergenic non-protein coding RNA 1670
GUCUCCUCUUUCGCCUCCUGCACCUUGAGAGCCCUGGGCUACUCUGUCACAGCCCCUGUUGCCCUGCGAUCUGUAGGUCCUUGGGGACGCAUAGUUAAGGUGCCAGGACAUCCUGGAAGCUGGGAAAUGAUUUCUUCCAGACCAUGGCUGGAGAAGGAAAGAAGGUGUGUUUUGCCUGAUUCAGGGACUAUAGAGAGAACCAAGUUCUGCAGGCCUGUCAUCUAAGUCUCAGGUGAGUAUGAAUUCUCUUGUGUUUUCCACAGACUGUUGCAGUGUCAGGACCAAGGUCAAAUGAGUUAUAGCCAAGUCUACAGUAAGAUGUGGCAGUAUUCUGUUUUGAAGCGAGGACCAUGAUUGGCAAGCUUGCCACUUGGUCAAGUGCUUACCCUCUAAAGAUGUCUUCCUUGGUCUUUGCCUCCAGCUGGGUGUCACAAACUCUGAACUGGAUUCCAAGGCUUUCAUGAAUGCACUUAUGUUUGCUGUGGCAGCUGCAUUAUGUCGUGGGGGAUGUGGAUGCAGAACCUCCCAUUCUGUCGUCUUGCUUAUGUUACUCUCCUUUAUGUUUCACUUUCUCAAAUGAAUGUCAAGCAGGUGAUUUUCAGAUUCAAAAGUUCUAAAAUAAAUUGCUCAAAUUUACACAUUAUGUAAGCUGUUAAUAAAAUUUCUUGUAGGUG